rnacentral:rRNA from 1 species
UCAGCAACGGAUCUCUUGGCUCUCGCAUCGAUGAAGAACGCAGCGAAAUGCGAUAAGUAAUGUGAAUUGCAGAAUUCAGUGAAUCAUCGAAUCUUUGAACGCACCUUGCACUCCUUGGUAUUCCGAGGAGUACGCCUGUUUGAGGGUCAUAUGG